UGCUGGCGUUUUCAGCACAGCUGCUGAAUCACAUGGCCCCAUUCCCUCGCCUGUCAAAAGCUGAGUGUGCGCUGCGGAUUGAGUUAAGUGUUCCUCACUGUACAAAACAUCAGUAAAACACCUACACAAUAACAGUGGUGUUCAGUGUCACGCAGUAAAUCACAAUUUAAAUAGUGAAGUUAAGAGUAUGAAAACUUUUGGGAAUGUAUCUGAGUAAAUAUUGCUUUCAGACAUUCACGGUGAGUGGAUUUCCCUGGAUUAAACGUUGUGGUGUGCUGGUGCUUUCUGGUUUUAAGCUGCGUCUCAGUUUCCUGCCGACAGUAAGGAGGAUGGAAGAGAGGGUUGCCGCCGUUUCAUCUCUUGCUGCAGCUGCUCCUUCAGGGUGGACACCUGCAGUCAUACAGCCUUUGACUCUGUGUCGGUGAGCUCGCUCUCUGGUGCCCAACGUUCGCUCUACGUCCCUGAAGCUGGACUUCAGUCUCUCGGCCUCCCGCUGGGCCUCGUCACGCUGCCUCACCAAACUCUCACACAGACUGUUUGACUGCUCCAUCUCAGCCAGCUGAGUCUGCUCAAAACACACACACACAAAUAAGUGUGAGACCAAAAUUUUAACAAAAAGUAAAAAGUCUGUCUAAGUGUCUAAACAAUGGAGAGACUUUGGUUCAGUUCAGAUCAAAAGCUAACCACCCAGCAACAUGUUGGAGGGCUCUGCGGUGACCUGAAGGUAAACCAUACUUGUAUUUUCUGGAGUUGAUCGAAAUCUUUUUUGGAACAGUGUAAAUCCAACUUUUUAUUUAUUUAUAAACAUUUUUAUUACCAACAAUUGUGCUGUGAUUUACCUACAAGGAAUAUUGUGGAGGCUGUGCAAAGAAGAGAUAGAUACCUAGCAAACAUUUGUUAAAAUGUAACUUUAAACCAGCAUAAAAACUUGUGAAGAAAUUAUUUGAUAUUUUUCAGGAAAUGUAUUUAAUGGAAAAUUUUGUAUGUUGUACUUAUGGUACCGUCGCAUGUUGUUGUUUCCGGAUCUGAAAACCCAAUUAAAAUCUAAAAAAAGGGGAAAUGA